ensembl:miRNA xtr-mir-9406 xtr-mir-9406
GUCAGCCUGCUCCAUACAUGCCAGCUCAGAGCUGCCUUCCCCAGCAUCUUCACCUAAAGCAGCAAAUCUGUUGGUUUGUACAAACAGUGAACCAG